UUCUUAUUUACAUUCUAAGCUCUAGUGUUGUGAUACGACGAGGUCACAACCAUCAGAUCUGUAGAAGAAGCUCGUCAAAUCGUCGUUGUGAUAGAGCUAAACUGGUGAGCGGAGAACCAGGAGCCCUCUCACAGCCAUGGCAAGAAGCGCCAAAGACAGGAGAGGCAAAGCGCGGCGUAGAUCUGAGAUUUCCGGCUAGAUUCAAGUUGGGAGAGAAAUCGCAGUGCGUGACCCUCACACGCUCGAUUCCAUGUUUUUUUCUUUCUAUCUCUCUUUCGUAGAUUUUGAUACAUGGUAGUAAUUAUCUCAUACAGAAUUUAGGAACCGAACUGGCCUUUUUACAUGUGCAUGCGCAUGUGAUGUUUUUCUUCUACUUAGAACCGAUUUUUAAGAAAGCAUCAUUAUCAGAGCCAAUAUAUCAAUUUGAAAGACACAUAUAUGUGGUCUUGGCUCUUUGAUAAAAAAAAAAAAAUGGUCUUGGGCUCUUGGCGCUCGUUUGUUCCAAGUUUCAUAUGGUACAUAAUCCAAAAAUACAAAAAAAAAAAAAAAAA